rnacentral:rRNA from 1 species
CUUUACUAUAGCUUGACACUGAACAUUGAGCCUUGAUGUGUAGGAUAGGUGGGAGGCUUUGAAGUGUGGACGCCAGUCUGCAUGGAGCCGACCUUGAAAUACCACCCUUUAAUGUUUGAUGUUCUAACGUGGACCCGUAAUCCGGGUUGCGGACAGUGUCUGGUGGGUAGUUUGACUGGGGCGGUCUCCUCCUAAAGAGUAACGGAGGAGCACGAAGGUUGGCUAAUCCUGGUCGGACAUCAGGAGGUUAGUGCAAUGGCAUAAGCCAGCUUGACUGCGAGCGUGACGGCGCGAGCAGGUGCGAAAGCAGGUCAUAGUGAUCCGGUGGUUCUGAAUGGAAGGGCCAUCGCUCAACGGAUAAAAGGUACUCCGGGGAUAACAGGCUGAUACCGCCCAAGAGUUCAUAUCGACGGCGGUGUUUGGCACCUCGAUGUCGGCUCAUCACAUCCUGGGGCUGAAGUAGGUCCCAAGGGUAUGGCUGUUCGCCAUUUAAAGUGGUACGCGAGCUGGGUUUAGAACGUCGUGAGACAGUUCGGUCCCUA